GACGAGGGAUCCUAGCGUUGUUCGGAAUCACUGGGCGUAAAGCGCACGUAGGCGGAUUUGUAAGUCAGGGGUGAAAUCCCGGGGCUCAACCUCGGAACUGCCUUUGAUACUGCGAGUCUUGAGUCCGAUAGAGGUGGGUGGAAUUCCUAGUGUAGAGGUGAAAUUCGUAGAUAUUAGGAAGAACACCAGUGGCGAAGGCGGCCCACUGGAUCGGUACUGACGCUGAGGUGCGAAAGCGUGGGG
rnacentral:rRNA from 1 species